UACGUAGGGUGCGAGCGUUAAUCGGAAUUACUGGGCGUAAAGCGUGCGCAGGCGGUUAUGUAAGACAGUUGGGAAAUCCCCGGGCUCAACCUGGGAAUUGCAUCUGUGACUGCAUAGCUAGAGUACGGUAGGGGGGGAUGGAAUUCCGCGUGUAGCAGUGAAAUGCGUAGAUAUGCGGAGGAACACCGAUGGCGAAGGCAAUCCCCUGGACCUGUACUGACGCUCAUGCACGAAAGCGUGGGGAGCAAACAGG
rnacentral:rRNA from 1 species